CAGCAGCCGCGGGAAUACGUAGGGUGCAAGCGUUAAUCGGAAUUACUGGGCGCAAAGCGUGCGCAGGCGGUCCGCUAAGACAGAUGUGAAAUCCCCGGGCUUAACCUGGGAACUGCAUUUGUGGCUGGCGGGCUAGAGUAUGGCAGAGAGGGGUAGAAUUCCACGUGUAGCAGUGAAAUGCGUAGAGAUGUGGAGGAAUACCGAUGGCGAAGGCAGCCCCCUGGGCCAAUACUGACGCUCAUGCACGAAAGCGUGGGGAGCAAACAGGAUUAGAUACCCGCGUAGUCCCUGUCUCUUAUAC
rnacentral:rRNA from 1 species